rnacentral:rRNA from 1 species
AGAACGAACGCUGGCGGCAGGCUUAACACAUGCAAGUCGAACGGUUGUAGCAAUACAGCAGUGGCAGACGGGUGAGUAACACGUGGGAACCUUCCUAGGGGUACGGAACAACUCAGGGAAACUUGAGCUAAUACCGUAUACGUCCGUGAGGAGAAAGUUUUAACGCCCCUAGACGGGCCCGCGUAGGAUUAGGUAGUUGGUGAGGUAACGGCUCACCAAGCCUACGAUCCUUAGCUGAUCUGAGAGGAUGAUCAGCCACACUGGGACUGAGACACGGCCCAGACUCCUACGGGAGGCAGCAGUGGGGAAUCUUGGACAAUGGGCGCAAGCCUGAUCCAGCCAUGCCGCGUGAGUGAAGAAGGCCUUCGGGUUGUAAAGCUCUUUUACCAGGGACGAUAAUGACGGUACCUGGAGAAUAAGCCCGGCAACUUCGUGCCAGCAGCCGC